AAUGAACGCUAGCGGCAGGCUUAACACAUGCAAGUCGAGGGGUAGAGGCUUUCGGGCCUUGAGACCGGCGCACGGGUGCGUAACGCGUAUGCAAUCUGCCUUGUACAAAGGGAUAGCCCAGAGAAAUUUGGAUUAAUACCUUAUAGUAUUAUGAUGUGGCAUCACAUUAUUAUUAAAGAUUUAUCGGUACAAGAUGAGCAUGCGUCCCAUUAGCUAGUUGGUGUGGUAACGGCAUACCAAGGCAAUGAUGGGUAGGGGUCCUGAGAGGGAGAUCCCCCACACUGGUACUGAGACACGGACCAGACUCCUACGGGAGGCAGCAGUGAGGAAUAUUGGACAAUGGGCGCAAGCCUGAUCCAGCCAUGCCGCGUGCAGGAUGAAGCAUCUAUGGUGUGUAAACUGCUUUUAUACGGGAAGAAACCCUGGCUCGUGAGCCAGAUUGACGGUACCGUAGGAAUAAGGAUCGGCUAACUCCGUGCCAGCAGCCGCAGUAAGAC
rnacentral:rRNA from 1 species